ACAUGCAAGUCGAGCGAGAAAGUAUCUUCGGAUAUGAGUAGAGCGGCGGACGGGUGAGUAACGCGUAGGAAUCUACCUAGUAGAAGGGGAUAGCCCGGGGAAACUCGGAUUAAUACCGUAUACCUCCUAAGGGAGAAAGAGGGCCUCUCUUGAAGCUCUCGCUAUUAGAUGAGCCUGCGUAAGAUUAGCUUGUUGGUAAGGUAAUGGCUUACCAAGGCUACGAUCUUUAGCUGGUCUGAGAGGACGAUCAGCCACAUUGGGACUGAGACACGGCCCAGACUCCUACGGGAGGCAGCAGUGGGGAAUAUUGGACAAUGGGCGCAAGCCUGAUCCAGCCAUACCGCGUGUGUGAAGAAGGCCUUCGGGUUGUAAAGCACUUUAAGCAGGGAGAAAAAGUAAUAAGUUAAUACCUUAUUGCCUUGAUGUUACCUGCAGAAUAAGCACCGGCUAAUUCCGUGCCAGCAGCCGCGGUAAUACGGAAGGUGCAAGCGUUAAUCGGAAUUACUGGGCGUAAAGCGCGCGUAGGUGGUUUGUUAAGUUGGAUGUGAAAGCCCUGGGCUCAACCUAGGAACUGCAUCCAAAACUAACUCACUAGAGUACGAUAGAGGGAGGUAGAAUUCAUAGUGUAGCGGUGGAAUGCGUAGAUAUUAUGAAGAAUACCAGUGGCGAAGGCGGCCUCCUGGAUCUGUACUGACACUAAGGUGCGAAAGCGUGGGUAGCGAACAGGAUUAGAUACCCUGGUAGUCCACGCCGUAAACGAUGACAACUAGCUGUUGGGAGACAAUGUCUUUCAGUGGCGCAGCUAACGUUUUAAGUUGUCCGCCUGGGGAGUACGGCCGCA
rnacentral:rRNA from 1 species